rnacentral:rRNA from 1 species
AUUGAACGCUGGCGGCAUGCCUUACACAUGCAAGUCGAACGGUAACAGGUCUUCGGAUGCUGACGAGUGGCAAACGGGUGAGUAAUACAUCGGAACGUGCCCAGUCGUGGGGGAUAACGAAGCGAAAGCUUUGCUAAUACCGCAUACGAUCUACGGAUGAAAGCGGGGGACCGCAAGACCUCGCGCGAUUGGAGCGGCCGAUGGCAGAUUAGGUAGUUGGUGGGGUAAAGGCUUACCAAGCCUACGAUCUGUAGCUGGUCUGAGAGGGCGACCAGCCACACUGGGACUGAGACACGGCCCAGACUCCUACGGGAGGCAGCAGUGGGGAAUUUUGCACAAUGGGGGAAACCCUGAUGCAGCAGCGCCGCGUGAGUGAUGACGGCCUUCGGGUUGUAAAGCUCUUUCGGCCGGGAAGAAAUCGCACGGGCUAAUACCCUGUGUGGAUGACGGUACCGGAAUAAGAAGCACCGGCUAACUACGUGCCAGCCGCCGCCGUAA